rnacentral:rRNA from 1 species
UACGAAGGGGGCUAGCGUUGUUCGGAAUUAUUGGGCGUAAAGCGCGUGUAGGCGGCUUUGCAAGUCGGGUGUGAAAGCCCUCAGCUCAACUGAGGAAGUGCGCCCGAAACUGCAGAGCUUGAGUGCCGGAGAGGGUGGCGGAAUUCCCCAAGUAGAGGUGAAAUUCGUAGAUAUGGGGAGGAACACCGGUGGCGAAGGCGGCCACCUGGACGGUAACUGACGCUGAGACGCGAAAGCGUGGGGAGCGAACAGG